rnacentral:rRNA from 1 species
AUUGAACGCUGGCGGCAUGCCUAACACAUGCAAGUCGAGCGGUUACAGGCCGCUUGCUCCUGGCGUCAGCGGCAGGGGGGUGAAUAGUACCUAAAAGUAUGCCUGGGAGGGGGGUAUAGCAUCCGAAGACGUGCGCUAAUAGCGCAUGAGUUCUGGGGGAAAGAGGGGGGGCUCUUCGGAACUCUCGCUCUCAGACGUUCCGAGGUCGGAUUAGCUAGUUGGUGGGGUAAAGGCCUACCAAGGCGACGAUCCGUAGCUGGUCUGAGAGGAUGAUCAGUCACACUGGAACUGAGACACGGUCCAGACUCCUACGGGAGGCAGCAGUGGGGAAUAUUGGACAAUGGGCGAAAGCCUGAUCCAGCCAUGCCGCGUGUGUGAAGAAGGUCUUCGGAUUGUAAAGCACUUUAAGUUGGGAGGAAGGGGAGUAAGUUAAUACCGUGCUGUUUUGACGUUACCAGCAGAAUAAGCACCGGCUAACUUCGUG